UAGCGGCGGACGGCUGCAGUAACACGUGGGCACCUACCCUAUAGUUUGGGAUAACUCCGGGAAACCGGGGCUAAUACCGAAUAAUCUCUUUUGCUUCAUGGUGAAAGACUGAAAGACGGCAUCUCGCUGUCGCUAUAGGAUGGGCCCGCGGCGCAUUAGCUAGUUGGUGAGGUAACGGCUCACCAAGGCGACGAUGCGUAGCCGACCUGAGAGGGUGAUCGGCCACACUGGGACUGAGACACGGCCCAGACUCCUACGGGAGGCAGCAGUAGGGAAUCUUCCACAAUGGGCGAAAGCCUGAUGGAGCAACGCCGCGUGAGUGAAGAAGGUUUUCGGAUCGUAAAACUCUGUUGUAAGGGAAGAACAAGUACAGUAGUAACUGGCUGUACCUUGACGGUACCUUAUUAGAAAGCCACGGCUAACUACGUGCCAGCAGCCGCGGUAAUACGUAGGUGGCAAGCGUUGUCCGGAAUUAUUGGGCGUAAAAGCGCGCGCAGGCGGUCCUUUAAGUCUGAUGUGAAAGCCCACGGCUCAACCGUGGAGGGUCAUUGGAAACUGGGGGACUUGAGUGCAGAAGAGGAAAGUGGAAUUCCAAGUGUAGCGGAUGAAAUGCGUAGAGAUUUGGAGGAACACCAGUGGCGAAGGCGACUUUCUGGUCUGUAACUGACGCAUGAGGCGCGAAAGCGUGGGGAGCAAACAGGAUGUAGAUACCCCUGGGUAGUCCACGCCGUAAAACGAUGAGUGCUAAGUGUUAAGGGGGUUUUCCGCCCCCAUUAGUGCUGCAGCAUAACGCAUUUAAGCACUCCGGCCUGGGGGAAGUACGGGUCGCAAGACUUGGAAACUCCAAAGGGAAUUGGACGGGGCGGCCGCUCGCACAAAGCGGUGGGAACCAAUGUGGUUUUAAUUUCCGAAAGCAACGGCGAAAGAAAUCCUUUUACCGAGGGUUCUGUGACAUCCCCCGGAUGAACCCACUGGUGAGAAGGAUAUAUAGGUUUCCCCCCUUUCGGGGGCAACGGUGACAGGUGGUGCAUGGUUGUCGUCAGCUCGUGUCGUGAGAUGUUGGGUUAAGUCCCGCAACGAGCGCAACCCUUGAUCUUAGUUGCCAUCAUUUAGUUGGGCACUCUAAGGUGACUGCCGGUGACAAACCGGAGGAAGGUGGGGAUGACGUCAAAUCAUCAUGCCCCUUAUGACCUGGGCUACACACGUGCUACAAUGGACGAUACAAACGGUUGCCAACUCGCGAGAGGGAGCUAAUCCGAUAAAGUCGUUCUCAGUUCGGAUUGUAGGCUGCAACUCGCCUACAUGAAGCCGGAAUCGCUAGUAAUCGCGGAUCAGCAUGCCGCGGUGAAUACGUUCCCGGGCCUUGUACACACCGCCCGUCACAUCACGAGAGUAUUAUA
rnacentral:rRNA from 1 species